CUCCAUUUGGCUUUGUGAUUUCGCCCCAUGCUGCACGUCUAUAGCGUAACGGAGUGGAUAAAAGCACCGAUGUAAAAAGCAGGUCGCGAUAACAACGUGCGAUCAUCCGUCCGAGCUGGCUCUCUUCUCUCCACUCGCGCUGCAGAAGCCGUACGAGGAUAAAGGGAUAUUGAGGACACUGCAGUGAACAGCGGAUGAAACCAGAUGAAAAGAUUGUGAAUGUGUAGUCUCUGUAGGCUUUAAUCCUCUGCUCACGACAGUCAGACCACCGUAGAUUACAAACCUUCUCGCGCUAGGAUCGAUUUGUUGGUUUUAAGCGAGAGAAAUGCCAGCGACGCGCGCAAACAGACGCAGCAGAUCGCGGUGUGUUGGAGGUGGUAGACGCGGUGCCUUUUGGGAGCCACGGGGCUGAGAGGCAGACAGCAGCCCGGGACAGUGCGUUAACCUCUCCCUGUUGCCCCGCGGACCGUGGUCCGUAGAGGCGCGCACACAGAUGACAGCACGGACACAUGGCGCCUUGUUAUGGUCGUAUGCCUGACUGAGAUGUUCACAGCUUCGCCAGCAAGUGCUCCCACGAAACAGAGUCACAGCACUACCCUACGCAGUCAGCCCGAGUCUGUCUCUCCUGGAGGUGAGAUGAGUUGCUGCCCUGUUGGCUGUGUGUGACCGAGGUGAGACACGUCUCCAGCGGCUGCAGCUCUGCUCUGCACAAUGUGGGUUAAACCACGAGCCCAUGCGCUGCACAAAACAAAAGGAAUUGCCAUAGUUGUUGAAUAAUGUACUCAAAUAAUCUGAAAAACCAAGAAACUAUAGCGUAAUAAUACAUAAAAAAUAAAGCAG
rnacentral:lncRNA from 1 species